rnacentral:rRNA from 1 species
GACAUCCAGCGAACUUUCCAGAGAUGGAUUGGUGCCUUCGGGAACGCUGAGACAGGUGCUGCAUGGCUGUCGUCAGCUCGUGUUGUGAAAUGUUGGGUUAAGUCCCGNAACGAGCGCAACCCUUAUCCUUUGUUGCCAGCGAUUCGGUCGGGAACUCAAAGGAGACUGCCGGUGAUAAACCGGAGGAAGGUGGGGAUGACGUCAAGUCAUCAUGGCCCUUACGAGUAGGGCUACACACGUGCUACAAUGGCGCAUACAAAGAGAAGCGACCUCGCGAGAGCAAGCGGACCUCAUAAAGUGCGUCGUAGUCCGGAUCGGAGUCUGCAACUCGACUCCGUGAAGUCGGAAUCGCUAGUAAUCGUGGAUCAGAAUGCCACGGUGAAUACGUUCCCGGGCCUUGUACACACCGCCCGUCACACCAUGGGAGUGGGUUGCAAAAGAAGUAGGUAGCUUAACCCUCGGGAGGGCGCUUACCACUUUGUGAUUCAUGACUGGGGUGAAGUCGUAACAAGGUAAGCGUAGCGAG